rnacentral:rRNA from 1 species
UACGGAGGGGGCUAGCGUUGUUCGGAAUUACUGGGCGUAAAGCGCACGUAGGCGGAUUGGAAAGUUGGGGGUGAAAUCCCGGGGCUCAACCCCGGAACUGCCUCCAAAACUACCAGUCUUGAGGUCGAGAGAGGUGAGUGGAAUUCCGAGUGUAGAGGUGAAAUUCGUAGAUAUUCGGAGGAACACCAGUGGCGAAGGCGGCUCACUGGCUCGAUACUGACGCUGAGGUGCGAAAGCGUGGGGAGCAAACAGG